rnacentral:rRNA from 1 species
GAUGAACGCUAGCUACAGGCUUAACACAUGCAAGUCGAGGGGAAACGACAUCGAAAGCUUGCUUUUGAUGGGCGUCGACCGGCGCACGGGUGAGUAACGCGUAUCCAACCUGCCCAUCACUUGGGAAUAACCUUGCGAAAGUAAGACUAAUACCCAAUGAUAUCCCACGAAGGCAUCGGAAUGGGAUUAAAGAUUUAUCGGUGAUGGAUGGGGAUGCGUCUGAUUAGCUUGUUGGCGGGGUAACGGCCCACCAAGGCAACGAUCAGUAGGGGUUCUGAGAGGAAGGUCCCCCACAUUGGAACUGAGACACGGUCCAAACUCCGACGGGAGGCAGCAGUGAGGAAUAUUGGUCAAUGGGCGAGAGCCUGAACCAGCCAAGUAGCGUGCAGGAAGACGGCCCUAUGGGUUGUAAACUGCUUUUAUAAGGGAAUAAAGUGGGUCACGUGUGACUUUUUGCCUGUACCUUAUGAAUAAGGACCGGCUAAUUCCGUG